GAUGAACGCUGGCGGCGUGCCUAAUACAUGCAAGUCGAGCGAACGGACGAGAAACUUGCUUCUCUGAUGUUAGCGGCGGACGGGUGAGUAAAACGUGGAUAACCUACCUAUAAGACUGGGAUAACUUCGGGAAACCGGAGCUAAUACCGGAUAAUAUUUUGAACCGCAUGGUUCAAAAGUGAAAGACGGUCUUGCUGUCACUUAUAGAUGGAUCCGCGCUGCAUUAGCUAGUUGGUAAGGUAACGGCUUACCAAGGCAACGAUGCAUAGCCGACCUGAGAGGGUGAUCGGCCACACUGGAACUGAGACACGGUCCAGACUCCUACGGGAGGCAGCAGUAGGGAAUCUUCCGCAAUGGGCGAAAGCCUGACGGAGCAACGCCGCGUGAGUGAUGAAGGUCUUCGGAUCGUAAAACUCUGUUAUUAGGGAAGAACAUAUGUGUAAGUAACUGUGCACAUCUUGACGGUACCUAAUCAGAAAGCCACGGCUAACUACGUG
rnacentral:rRNA from 1 species